ACUCACCAGGCGACGACGGGUAGCCGGCCUGAGAGGGCGACCGGCCACACUGGGACUGAGACACGGCCCAGACUCCUACGGGAGGCAGCAGUGGGGAAUAUUGCACAAUGGGCGAAAGCCUGAUGCAGCGACGCCGCGUGAGGGAUGACGGCCUUCGGGUUGUAAACCUCUUUCAGCAGGGAAGAAGCGAAAGUGACGGUACCUGCAGAAGAAGCGCCGGCUAACUACGUGCCAGCAGCCGCGGC
rnacentral:rRNA from 1 species